rnacentral:rRNA from 1 species
AUUGAACGCUGGCGGAAUGCUUUACACAUGCAAGUCGAGCGGCAGCGCGGGGCAACCUGGCGGCGAGCGGCGAACGGGUGAGUAAUGUACCGGAACGUGUCCUUGAGUGGGGGAUAGCCCGGUGAAAACCGGAUUAAUACCGCAUGAGCUCGAGAGAGGAAAGCGGGGGAUCGCAAGACCUCGCGCUGGAGGAGCGGCCGAUAUCCGAUUAGCUAGAUGGUGAGGUAAAGGCUUACCAUGGCUUUGAUCGGUAGCUGGUCUGAGAGGAUGAUCAGCCACACUGGGACUGAGACACGGCCCAGACUCCUACGGGAGGCAGCAGUGGGGAAUUUUGGACAAUGGGGGCAACCCUGAUCCAGCCAUUCCGCGUGAGUGAAGAAGGCCUUCGGGUUGUAAAGCUCUUUUGUCGGGGACGAAACGGUUUUGGCUAAUACCCAGGACUACUGACGGUACCCGAAGAAUAAGCACCGGCUAACUACGUGCCAGCCGCCGCAGUAACAC